GAAGCAUGAUGAUAGUUUUUUUUUUGCCCCCGUCUUACAUGCAACUCUUGGUGCAAGAUGAUUAUUGACAUCAAUUAUCUGAUUC
rnacentral:snoRNA from 1 species